UUUUGUGGAGGGUUCGAUUCUGGCUCAGGAUGAACGCUGGCGGCGUGCUUAACACAUGCAAGUCGAACGGGAUCCAUCAGGCUUUGCUUGGUGGUGAGAGUGGCGAACGGGUGAGUAAUGCGUGACCGACCUGCCCCAUACACCGGAAUAGCUCCUGGAAACGGGUGGUAAUGCCGGAUGCUCCGACUCCUCGCAUGGGGUGUCGGGAAAGAUUUCAUCGGUAUGGGAUGGGGUCGCGUCCUAUCAGGUAGUCGGCGGGGUAACGGCCCACCGAGCCUACGACGGGUAGCCGGCCUGAGAGGGCGACCGGCCACAUUGGGACUGAGAUACGGCCCAGACUCCUACGGGAGGCAGCAGUGGGGAAUAUUGCACAAUGGGCGCAAGCCUGAUGCAGCGACGCCGCGUGCGGGAUGACGGCCUUCGGGUUGUAAACCGCUUUUGAUCGGGAGCAAGCCUUCGGGUGAGUGUACCUUUCGAAUAAGCACCGGCUAACUACGUGCCAGCAGCCGCGGUAAUACGUAGGGUGCAAGCG
rnacentral:rRNA from 1 species